rnacentral:rRNA from 1 species
AUACGGAGGAUGCGAGCGUUAUCCGGAUUUAUUGGGUUUAAAGGGUGCGUAGGCGGGCUGAUAAGUCAGUGGUGAAAGUUUGCAGCUUAACUGUAAAAUUGCCAUUGAAACUGUUAGUCUUGAGUGCAAAUGAGGUAGGCGGAAUGUGUUGUGUAGCGGUGAAAUGCUUAGAUAUAACACAGAACUCCGAUUGCGAAGGCAGCUUACUGGGAUGCAACUGACGCUGAUGCACGAAAGCGUGGGUAUC